rnacentral:rRNA from 1 species
UACGGAGGGGGCUAGCGUUGUUCGGAAUUACUGGGCGUAAAGCGCACGUAGGCGGCUAUGUAAGUUAGAGGUGAAAGCCCGGGGCUCAACCCCGGAAUAGCCUUUAAGACUGCAUCGCUUGAACACGGGAGAGGUGAGUGGAAUUCCGAGUGUAGAGGUGAAAUUCGUAGAUAUUCGGAAGAACACCAGUGGCGAAGGCGGCUCACUGGACCGUUGUUGACGCUGAGGUGCGAAAGCGUGGGGAGCAAACAGG